GACGAACGCUGGCGGCGUGCUUAACACAUGCGAGUCGAACGAGAGCGUAGAGAAAGCUUGCUUUUUCUACAAUCUAGUGGCAAACGGGUGAGUAACGCGUAAACAACCUGCCCUACGGAUGGGGACAACAGCUGGAAACGGCUGCUAAUACCGAAUACGUUCCGAAAGUCGCAUGACUAUCGGAAGAAAGGAUGGCCUCUAUUUAUAAGCUAUCGCCGGAGGAGGGGUUUGCGUCUGAUUAGCUAGUUGGAGGGGUAACGGCCCACCAAGGCGACGAUCAGUAGCCGGUCUGAGAGUAUGAACGGCCACAUUGGAACUGAGACACGGUCCAGACUCCUACGGGAGGCAGCAGUGGGGAAUCUUCCGCAAUGGGCGAAAGCCUGACGGAGCAACGCCGCGUGAGUGAAGACGGCCUUCGGGUUGUAAAGCUCUGUUAUACGGGACGAAUAAUCUUGUGGUUAAUACCCAUGAGAAGUGACGGUACCGUAAGAGAAAGCCACGGCUAACUACGUG
rnacentral:rRNA from 1 species